CAUAGCCCUCAUAGAGAUUGGAGGUGGCGCCUGCCCAAUGGGGUAUACUAACGAAAAUUAAUUUUUUUAAAUAUUCUGAAUGGCUGCAGUAACUAUGACUGUGUGAAUGUAGCAUAAUCAAUCGCCACUUAAUUAGUGGAUCGUAUGAAUGGCUGUACGAAAAUUUCGCUGUCUUAUAUGAACUAAAAAAAAAUUUAAAUUGUAGUUAAGAUGCUACAUAAAAUUGCAAGACGAAAAGACCCUAUAAAGCUUCACUACUAUUCUUUAAUAAAUAAUUAAGAAGAAAAAGGUAGUUUCAUUGGGGCGAUGAUCUCUAAAAACAAACAGAGUAUAAACAAAAUUAUGUGAUUAAUUUAUUGUUUAAUUUAUUGAUUUAACAAUUACAAAGUAGGUACAAGCGACCCAUUAAAAUUGUAUUUAAAAUUUAAUGAUCAACAAAUAAAAGCUACUUUAGGGAUAACAGGAUGAUCUUCUUUUAGAGCUCGUAUCGAAAAGAAGGCUUAUCACCUCGAUGUUGAAUUAAGAUACCCCAACAGUGCAGAAGCUGUUAAAGGUAGGUCUGUUCGACCUUAAAAAUCUUACAUG
rnacentral:rRNA from 1 species